UGCCCAGCAACUCCAAUCCCUACCUCCUCGCGGUACCUUUCCGGCCGCUAUGAGCAUUGAGCAACCUUAGGGAAGAUCGGGUAACCAACCCCGGUGGGAACUUUGGUCGUAGGCUGACAGGGAAGG
rnacentral:ribozyme from 1 species